AGCAGCCGCGGUAACUCCAGCUCCAAUAGCGUAUAUUAAAGUUGUUGCAGUUAAAAAGCUCGUAGUUGAAUUUCGGGAUCAUCAGGUCGGUCGUGCCUCCGGUAUGUACUGGUCUCGAUGGUUCCUCCUUCUUGUAGAACCGUAAUGCCAUUAAUUUGGUGUUGCGGGGAAACAGGACUGUUACUUUGAAAAAUUAGAGUGUUUAAAGCAGGCGAUCGCUUGAAUACAUUAGCAUGGAAUAAUGAAAUAGGACGUUCGAUCCUAUUUUGUUGGUUUCUAGGAUUGACGUAAUGAUUAAUAGGGAUAGUUGGGGGCAUUAGUAUUCAAUUGUCAGAGGUGAAAUUCUUGGAUUUAUUGAAGACUAACUACUGCGAAAGCAUUUGCCAAGGAUGUUUUCAUUAAUCAAGAACGAAAGUUGGGGGCUCGAAGACGAUCAGAUACCGUCCUAGUCUCAACCAUAAACGAUGCCGACCAGGGAUCAGCGGAUGUUGCUUAUAGGACUCCGCUGGCUACC
rnacentral:rRNA from 1 species